GAUGAACGCUGGCGGUAUGCUUAACACAUGCAAGUCGAACGGUCACUUCGGUGAUAGUGGCGGACGGGUGAGUAACGCGUGAGAAUCUGUCUUCAGGUCGGGGACAACAGUUAGAAAUGACUGCUAAUACCGGAUGUGCCUUUGGGUGAAAGAUUUAUUGCCUGAAAAAGAGCUCGCGUCAGAUUAGCUAGUAGGUGGUGUAAGAGACUACCUAGGCUCCGAUCUGUAGCUGGUCUGAGAGGACGAUCAGCCACACUGGAACUGAGACACGGUCCAGACUCCUACGAGAGGCAGCGGAGGGGGAUUUACCGCAGUGGGCGAAAGCCUGACGGGGCGAUACCGCGUGAAGGACGAAGGCUUUUGGGUCGUAAACCGCUUUUCACAAGGAAGAUGAUGACGGUACUUGAGGAAUAAGCAUCGGCUAACUCUGUG
rnacentral:rRNA from 1 species